rnacentral:rRNA from 1 species
AGCGAACGCUGGCGGCAGGCCUAACACAUGCGAGUCGAACGAACUCUUCGGAGUUAGUGGCGGACGGGUGAGUAACACGUGGGAACGUGCCUUUUGGUUCGGAAUAACUCAGGGAAACUUGUGCUAAUACCGAAUGUGCCCUUCGGGGGAAAGAUUUAUCGCCAUUAGAGCGGCCCGCGUCUGAUUAGCUAGUUGGUGAGGUAACGGCUCACCAAGGCGACGAUCAGUAGCUGGUCUGAGAGGAUGACCAGCCACACUGGGACUGAGACACGGCCCAGACUCCUACGGGAGGCAGCAGUGGGGAAUCUUGCGCAAUGGGCGAAAGCCUGACGCAGCCAUGCCGCGUGAAUGAUGAAGGUCUUAGGAUUGUAAAAUUCUUUCACCGGGGACGACAAUGACGGUACCCGGAGAAGAAGCCCCGGCUAACUUCGUG